GGGACCCAGGGAGAGACGUAAG
rnacentral:miRNA from 4 species